UUUUUUUUUUUUUUGGCUGCACCAGCGACAUGCAAAAUUCCCAGUCCAGGGAAUGAACUUGUGUCACUGCAGGAAUGAGCGCUGCAGCAGUGACAAUGCCAGGUCCUUAGCGCACGGAGCCACCAGGGGAACUCUGACAGGAAUUCUUUAUUCUACAUUUGCAACUCUUCUGAAAGUCCAAAACUGUCUCCAAGAAGGUUUUUAAAGUAUUUACAGGAGUUCCCACUGUGGCUCAGUGGAAAUGAAUCUGACUGGUAUUCAUGAGGAUGUGGGUUCGAUCCCUGGCCUUGCUCAAUGGGUUAAGGAUCCGGCGUUCCGUGAGCUGGGGUGUAGGUCACAGAUCUGCGGCAACAUCAAAUCCCUAACCCACUGAGGGAGGCCAGGGACUGAAACGCAUCUUCAUGGAGACUAGUCAGGUUCUUAACCCGCUGAGCCACAAUGGGAACUCCUCUAUCAAAUAUUUUAAGUCGAUCCCCUUUGAGAAGAUCAAACGUGGCCGGGAAGACGCUGUUGCCAUUUCCGAUCAUUUGAAAUGUACAGCCAACACACAAAGGUGACCCUGUUCUUUUGACUUUUGAAGGUAACUGUCAUGCAUCUUUGAUUUUGUGUUUGGUGCCCUUCAAAAGAUGUCCACAGAUGCCCAGGAAUGGACACGUUCCUGGUUAUUUUUGGCUUUUAUUCCCUACACCCCCUAACCUCUCGCCCUCCCCAUACAAGGUCCCUUUGCUCUGGAUUUAACUCCCGCAGGAACGGAAGUCAGCGUCUUAGCCCGGAUGUGUCCUCAGCUGCUCCCCAAAGGCUUUGGAGAGAGCGCCAGGCUUCACUGAUGCUUUGGGGGGGCAGAGGGGUUUCACAUCUCAGACACGCCCUUGCUCGGAGGUGACCAUGCCUACUCUGGCUCUUGAAAGAACGUCUUGCAGCUGCUCCUGGAGGGUCUCCACACCCUACUCCACAGCUUCUAGCUUCCCUCGCCCCUGUCUCCCAACCUCCUCCCCUCUUCUCUGCUCUGCUCGGCUGCCUGGGUACAUCCUACUCAUGGACAUUCUGUUUUCUCCUCUGUCCACAGGGAUGGGUGUUCAUGCAGAAAACAGAAGUCCUGACUCAGACUGGAUCACACAGAAAUAAAACGUGGUGACUCCCACCACCACCGGAAACCCCCAGGUGGGUGCUGCAGUGUCUCCCAACUCUGUGGAUGUUGCUUAAUUUCUCUGAUUCUCUUCCCUCUGCUCUCCCCUCCCCUGCACUGGCUUCCUCUCCAGCAGGCAGCAAAGGGGCUGCAGCAUGUGGGUGACGGACUACCUCCACUGAAAUGCAAGGGAGGGACUUCCUGCAGCCCUCCCAGAAAAAGAAAACUUUUACCAGCAGCUUUUAGAAAGAGACACGUACGUAUCAUCAGUGCGUGUUGUUAUUUUCCUAUUCUUUUUUGUUGCUGUUUUUUGUUUGGGGAGUUUUUUGGCUGCCAAUGGCAUGCAGAAGUUUCCCAGGCCAGGGAAAAAGCUUGUACUACAGCAAUGACAAUGCCAGAUCCUUCACCCGCUAGGCCACCAGGGAACUCCGCGCUUUCCUAUUCUGAAACCAAUCUCUGUGGGCCAGGAGAGUCCCAAAGCUUGAGAUGGCUGAGGUCCGGGUACCCAGGGACUGUGACAUGUGUGAGUUAGAACAGGAGGUGGAGAAUCGAGACCCACAGACCAACCCCACCCCACUGCCUAGUUUGGCAAAGAAACUUGGUAAACACACAUUUUUUUUGGAAUAUAGCCAAACCCACAUGCCUCUCGCUUGCCAAGGACCAGCUUUGUACCACUGCAGAGUUAGUAGCGGCAAGAGAGACCAUAUGCCCCAGAGAGCCAAAAUCCUGGCUCUUUACAGGUCAAGUUUGCUGACCACUGGCUGAGACAGCCCUGGACUCAUCUCAGUGCUCCCCCACCAUCUGCCUGCCCUAUGGAUGUGACAGAGACACGACAGUCCCUGCCACCGUCCAAUCCCUAGGCUAAGCAACAUCACCAAGCAACGAGGCACUCUGUUAUGGCAGCCCUUCUCUUUUCCAUGGCUCAGAUUCACUUUCUUUUAUAAAAUCAUCACGUAGUAAGUCACUCUCGUUGCCUUACUGUCUUUCUCUGCAAAAUUAAAAGUGUGCAAGCCUCAGAGAGCCUCUCUAAUUUUCCUUUAUUAAAUUUCAGGAGGAAGUGAAAUCCUAAACUGUAAAGUUCCUCUCUCCCGGUGUGUCCCUGAUUUCUCACAGGAGCCCUGGACGUGAGUCCUCCCAAACCCCAGCAGCUUCUGCACUAAAAGCCAAAGGGGUUUCGUGCCAGCAAACAAGGUGGGUACGUUCUCACGAAUUUUCUGAUAAACACAGUCUCAGAAAGGCUGAACGAAAGGCAGCGUCCAUAGUCUGCAAAGUUCGAUCCUUCUCCAAGAAGGCUAUGUCAUCAAUUCUCAUUGGUUAUGUUCCGUUCAUGAAAAUAAACAAUAAGCAACUUUAAGAACCGAUACAGUAACUGCUACUCUGAUCAGCAGGGACGGUCAAAAGGCUACAUACACACACAAAAAAGGUGAUACUGACACUCUCACCGCCCUUAGUUUCAAAAGCAGUUCUAGAAUUUACCAUGUCAUCGACAUGACCCCUAAUUAUAUGAAAUGGAAAUAAUCUCCACCUAAGAAUCUAAUGGUAAAAUGACCGAUGAAAGAAGCAGCUACUCGCCAACAUGAGGUCAUCCUGGAAGCACACAAACCUUUUUUUUUUUUUUUUCUUCUUUGUAAAUA
rnacentral:lncRNA from 1 species